rnacentral:pre_miRNA from 1 species
GCUUUGCUCGGGUGUCCCUGGUCUGCUGGGAGGGUCCAGCGGCUUUGCUGGACCCCCCCAGAAGACCAGGGACACCCGAGCAAAGC